GCUGUGGCUCAGCGGUAGAUCGUCUGCUUGGCCAGCAGAAGUUCCCAGGUUCAAUCCCUGGCAUCCA
rnacentral:tRNA from 1 species